rnacentral:rRNA from 1 species
UACGGAGGGUGCAAACGUUGCUCGGAAUCAUUGGGCGUAAAGCGCACGUAGGCGGUUCGUUAAGUCGGCUGUGAAAGCCCUCGGCUCAACCGAGGAAGUGCAGCCGAAACUGGCGUGCUCGAGUACGGAAGAGGGUCUCGGAAUUCCCGGUGUAGAGGUGAAAUUCGUAGAUAUCGGGAGGAACACCAGUGGCGAAGGCGGAGACCUGGGCCGAUACUGACGCUGAGGUGCGAAAGCGUGGGGAGCAAACAGG